CGGACCCUUCGGGGUUAGUGGCAGACGGGUGAGUAACGCGUGGGAACCUACCUAUAAGUACGGAACAACACAGAGAAAUUUGUGCUAAUACCGUAUGUGCUCUUUUGAGUAAAGAUUUAUCGCUUAUAGAUGGGCCCGCGUUAGAUUAGCUAGUUGGUGAGGUAACGGCUCACCAAGGCGACGAUCUAUAGCUGGUCUGAGAGGAUGAUCAGCCACACUGGGACUGAGACACGGCCCAGACUCCUACGGGAGGCAGCAGUGAGGAAUAUUGGACAAUGGGGGCAACCCUGAUCCAGCCAUGCCGCGUGAGUGAUGACGGCCUUAGGGUUGUAAAGCUCUUUCAGUAGUGAAGAUAAUGACGGUAACUACAGAAGAAGCCCCGGCUAACUUCGUGCCAGCAGCCGCGGUAAUACGAAGGGGGCUAGCGUUGUUCGGAAUCACUGGGCGUAAAGCGCGCGUAGGCGGACUUUUAAGUCAGGGGUGAAAUCCCGAGGCUCAACCUCGGAACUGCCUUUGAUACUGGAAGUCUUGAGUUCGAGAGAGGUGAGUGGAAUACCGAGUGUAGAGGUGAAAUUCGUAGAUAUUCGGUGGAACACCAGUGGCGAAGGCGGCUCACUGGCUCGAUACUGACGCUGA
rnacentral:rRNA from 1 species